AUUGAACGCUGGCGGCAGGCCUAACACCUGCAAGUCGAGCGAGCGGCGGCCGGGUGAGUAAUAUCUGGGAAACUGCCUGAUGGAGGGGGAUAACUACUGGAAACGGUAGCUAAUACCGCAUACCAUCAGAUGUGCCCAUAUGGGAUUAGCUAGUAGGUGGGGUAACGGCUCACCUAGGCGACGAUCCCUAGCUGGUCUGAGAGGAUGACCAGCCGCACUGGAACUGAGACACGGUCCAGACUCCUACGGUAGGCAGCAGUGGGGAAUAUUGACCAAGGGGCGCAAGCCUGAUGCAGCAAUGCCGCGUGUGUGAAGAAGGCCUUCGGGUUGUAAAGCACUUUCAGCGGGGAGGCGUUACCCGCAGAAGAAGCACCGGCUAACUCCGUGCCAGCAGCCGCGGUAAUUC
rnacentral:rRNA from 1 species